rnacentral:rRNA from 1 species
GAUGAACGCUGGCGGCGUGCCUAAUACAUGCAAGUCGAGCGAACGGACGAGAAGCUUGCUUCUCUGAUGUUAGCGGCGGACGGGUGAGUAACACGUGGAUAACCUACCUAUAAGACUGGGAUAACUUCGGGAAACCGGAGCUAAUACCGGAUAAUAUUUUGAACCGCAUGGUUCAAAAGUGAAAGACGGUCUUGCUGUCACUUAUAGAUGGAUCCGCGCUGCAUUAGCUAGUUGGUAAGGUAACGGCUUACCAAGGCAACGAUGCAUAGCCGACCUGAGAGGGUGAUCGGCCACACUGGAACUGAGGCACGGUCCAGACUCCUACGGGAGGCAGCAGUAGGGAAUCUUCCGCAAUGGGCGAAAGCCUGACGGAGCAACGCCGCGUGAGUGAUGAAGGUCUUCGGAUCGUAAAACUCUGUUAUUAGGGAAGAACAUAUGUGUAAGUAACUGUGCACAUCUUGACGGUACCUAAUCAGAAAGCCACGGCUAACUACGUGCCAGCAGCCGCGGUAAUACGUAGGUGGCAAGCGUUAUCCGGAAUUAUUGGGCGUAAAGCGCGCGUAGGCGGUUUUUUAAGUCUGAUGUGAAAGCCCACGGCUCAACCGUGGAGGGUCAUUGGAAACUGGAAAACUUGAGUGCAGAAGAGGAAAGUGGAAUUCCAUGUGUAGCGGUGAAAUGCGCAGAGAUAUGGAGGAACACCAGUGGCGAAGGCGACUUUCUGGUCUGUAACUGACGCUGAUGUGCGAAAGCGUGGGGAUCAAACAGGAUUAGAUACCCUGGUAGUCCACGCCGUAAACGAUGAGUGCUAAGUGUUAGGGGGUUUCCGCCCCUUAGUGCUGCAGCUAACGCAUUAAGCACUCCGCCUGGGGAGUACGACCGCAAGGUUGAAACUCAAAGGAAUUGACGGGGACCCGCACAAGCGGUGGAGCAUGUGGUUUAAUUCGAAGCAACGCGAAGAACCUUACCAAAUCUUGACAUCCUUUGACAACUCUAGAGAUAGAGCUUUCCCCUUCGGGGGACAAAGUGACAGGUGGUGCAUGGUUGUCGUCAGCUCGUGUCGUGAGAUGUUGGGUUAAGUCCCGCAACGAGCGCAACCCUUAAGCUUAGUUGCCAUCAUUAAGUUGGGCACUCUAAGUUGACUGCCGGUGACAAACCGGAGGAAGGUGGGGAUGACGUCAAAUCAUCAUGCCCCUUGUGAUUUGGGCUACACACGUGCUACAAUGGACAAUACAAAGGGCAGCGAAACCGCGAGGUCAAGCAAAUCCCAUAAAGUUGUUCUCAGUUCGGAUUGUAGUCUGCAACUCGACUACAUGAAGCUGGAAUCGCUAGUAAUCGUAGAUCAGCAUGCUACGGUGAAUACGUUCCCGGGUCU